UUCACACCGGCGAGAUGUUUUGUACAAGCAGUGUGUGAAGUUAUGUGAGCUCGUAACAAAAGGAGGAUAAGAAGAAAAUGUAUUCAGGAAGAGAAGAAUGGAAGAUUGGAACCCCCUGAUGAGAGAGCCCAUGGCACCCCACAAUUGACAGGAAAAGUUUGUUCCCAGUCCUGUUUCCAAAUUGGGACUUUCAUUUGUCUGUUGUGUCACUCUUACUAAACAAAGCUGAAAGGACUGAAUUCAGUUUCUUUUAUGAUACCCGAAGAUUUUCUAACAACAGUGGACACGUUUUGAAGAGCUCACACUUCUUUGAUAAGUGGAAAGUUCUUCCUGUGGCAAAAUGUUGCGUUACCUGUUAAAAACUCUUCUCCAAAUGAACCUUUUUGCAGAUUCUGUGGGGAGAGACUCUUCCAACAGCACAGAGCUGCUCUUCAAUCUGACUUCAGCGAUCCCUUCUUUCAACACCUCGUUCCUGGACUUGGGCAACCUCACCAGCUUCAAUGUAGAAAAACGAUUUCCAGGUUCCGCAGGCCGGUAGUGUCUCCAGUGGGGUGAGAAUUAAGAGAAAUUUAAAAAAAAAAGCCUUUUCUUUUCUUAUCUGUGCUUCUUGGCAUUCAUCACCAGCUGAUUCGCAGCUUGUCAGGAGCUGUCAUCACAGAUCGAUGGAGUUAAAAGUCAUUGGGAAAAGUUGGUUGAGGCUUAUUUCAAAGGAGAAAGUGUGGGAGGUUAAUUUGCUUUGGAAAUGCAAUACAGAUAAGCUGCUUAUCUCAGCUGUAGGAGGCUAUUGAUAAUGCUGAUUCUGUAGCAAGGCUUGCCUAACACUGACCCCUGCAAGGAGCUUUCUUUAUUUCUCAUUUCAAACCCUUGUACCUGGGCUGGCUAUAGCGUUGAAAUGGAAAAAAUGUGGACAGUAAGCUUUUUUCCCCUUUAUUGUUAAACAUUGUAUAUUUGUUUUAUAAAAUGUACAGCUAGCAGUGGAUGAAAUCUAUGUAUAAUAAAGUUCAAUUUUUUAGAAUGGACAACAGGAAUUGUUUUGUACUAUAUGGUAUAUUUAUGUAUCUGCUAUGCUAUAUGAAUAACUGAAGCAGUAUAACAGUGCUGGGCUAUAUUAAAGAUGUCUCUCUUAAAAUUCGGAAGCGUGUUUUACAGAUUAUAGGUAUUUGUAAGACAGAUUUAUCUGCAGAAUAUUGAUCACAUUUCCACCUAUCUCACAUCCUGGGGGAUAUUUUCCGU
rnacentral:lncRNA from 1 species